CAACCUGCCCACCACUUGGGGAUAACCUUGCGAAAGUAAGACUAAUACCCAAUGAUAUCUCUNNNNGACAUCUGAAAGAGAUUAAAGAUUUAUCGGUGAUGGAUGGGGAUGCGUCUGAUUAGCUUGUUGGCGGGGUAACGGCCCACCAAGGCGACGAUCAGUAGGGGUUCUGAGAGGAAGGUCCCCCACAUUGGAACUGAGACACGGUCCAAACUCCUACGGGAGGCAGCAGUGAGGAAUAUUGGUCAAUGGACGAGAGUCUGAACCAGCCAAGUAGCGUGCAGGAUGACGGCCCUAUGGGUUGUAAACUGCUUUUAUAAGGGAAUAAAGUGAGUCUCGUGAGACUUUUUGCAUGUACCUUAUGAAUAAGGACCGGCUAAUUCCGUGCCAGCAGCCGCGGUAAUACGGAAGGUCCGGGCGUUAUCCGGAUUUAUUGGGUUUAAAGGGAGCGUAGGCCGGAGAUUAAGCGUGUUGUGAAAUGUAGAUGCUCAACAUCUGCACUGCAGCGCGAACUGGUUUCCUUGAGUACGCACAAAGUGGGCGGAAUUCGUGGUGUAGCGGUGAAAUGCUUAGAUAUCACGAAGAACUCCGAUUG
rnacentral:rRNA from 1 species